rnacentral:rRNA from 1 species
GGUACGCGAGCUGGGUUCAGAACGUCGUGAGACAGUUCGGUCCCUAUCCGUCGUGGGCGUUGGAAGUUUGAGAGGAGCUGUCCUUAGUACGAGAGGACCGGGAUGGACGCACCGCUGGUGCACCAGUUGUUCCGCCAGGAGCAUAGCUGGGUAGCUACGUGCGGAAGGGAUAAGUGCUGAAAGCAUCUAAGCAUGAAGCCCCCCUCAAGAUGAGACUUCCCAUCAUUUUAAAUGAGUAAGAUCCCUCAGAGACGAUGAGGUAGAUAGGUUCGAGGUGGAAGCGUGGUGACACGUGCAGCUGACGAAUACUAAUCGAUCGAGGACUUAACUAA